CUCAAUUUUGAUUUAAUCUUCUUCUACUUCUUUUCAAAACUUUGUCGGUAUUACGCUGAAAAUAAUUGUUGUUGUUAUUAUUCAUUUUAACUUUCUCUUCUAUAUCCUUGUUCAUCCCAUAUUCUAAAGAAAAGUGAAUUAGUGAAGGUCUUAUUUUGGGCAAAAUAGUUUCUAGGUGUUGUGCAAUUUCUCGAAUUUCAGACUACUUUGCGAAUUUCUGGUUACUAUUCGAUAAAGAAUAUCUGGUAUUGUGCAAGACUGAAUUUUAGGGAAACAAAUGCUGCUAAAUUUCAUGUCACUCUCUUCAAAUAUCCGCUGCUCAUCAGGUAUCUAUUUUAGGCCUUGUUCUCUGGUGAUACGUUUAUUGCUCAACUUCAGAGGUCUCCUUCGCUUCUUACAAGUAUCAUCUCUCUAUUUUGGAGUAUUUCUCAACUCUCUUAUGUACUUUUUUCUGUUCUUCAGGACGCUUAGUUGAUUUUAUGGUAAAUAUUUUAGUGAUUCUCACCUUAAGAAUGAAAGUGGACGACGAGCAAUUAAUGGAAGUGGUAUAGGUGAGCAUUAUAAUGUCUGUAAUCUGUGCAAAGAUAUGAAUAUUUGUUGGCAUGCGUUCUUCUAUCUUUUAGUAUUAUAUGAAUGCACAUAUGGUUGUGACUGUUUUAAACUAUUCUUUGUAUUUAAAGGAGUUACAUUUCCCAUGCACUUGGUGUAUCAUUAUGCUACAAUCAAAACAAGUGAUGUCCGGAAUCUUAGUGACAUCACGGAUGUUGCUAUAUUUAUUCCUGUAGAACCAUGCUGGGAUAAGAGUUGUUAAGGUAAAUUUUGAAGCUUUGUUAAAUAAAAUUGGAAAUCUUUGUUUACUUUUUUAAGUUUCAAGAAGAAAUACGUACUAUCUUUUCUGUUAUAUUAGGAAAUAGUUUAUGAUCCCAAAUGGAUAGCUGCACAUAUUCAUUCUAUCCAUUUUAACUAUUUUCUUGGUCUAUUUUAACUAUCAAUCUUCAAUCAACACAUAAAGAGAGACUGGGCAUGCGAAGAAUUACAAGAACUGUGUAAUGUGUUUGUACAAUAUUAAGAUGCUAGCUCAGUACGAUGAUUCGAUAUUUGUUGUUUUUGUACUGAUAUAUUUAUGUUAUUUUAGUCACCAUGUGUCAUUCUACAAGCAAGACAUCAUGUAGUGUCUUUGUUUCAGGUCUUUAACCAUAUUUGGAGGGUAAUUUAUUCCGGUUACCGCAUGUGAAAGUAAAUAUUGCUUUAAUUAUGACUUCAUGCUGAUGCAAUGUAUAGUACUUCACAGUCCCGACCCUAUAAUAGUUUUUUUCAUAGAUUUAUUUGUAAAUUGCUAUUUUAUUAAAUUUUACUGUAACAGAAAAAUUAGCAUUCUUUCCGAUUUCUAAAAUACUUAUUGUUGGCAGAUUUUAACUUUCACUCAAUGCCUAUAAAACCCUCGCCAUUUCAAAAUGAAAUAACUAAAUUUUGGAUAUGAUGCUACAAAUUAAGCAAAUAAACUAAGAAAUUCUGUAAAAAAAAAAUUACGUUUGUAUGUACCCAACAAUAUUUAAUAUUUAGAUACAAAGACCAAAUUUGCAUAUAAAGAAAAGAGUAGUACAUCCUGAAUCUUUGUAUUUGAGUGUGAAACAACUUUUGUCAUGAAACUUGAGGUUACCAAACCAUGAUUUGAUAGGAAUUCAGUUUAUAUUUCCCAAUUUAUAAUGAUAAGAAGUCUUUUGGAAUUCUUAAUACCUGAAAGAAAAAAAAACUUUAUGCUUGAUUUCAAGAGUUUGCGUCCUCUCUCAUUUGAGGUAAAAUGUGGAUAGCAGCAAUCUAGGGAAAGCACUUUUAAUAAUAUUUGUGACACUUUACUUGGCUGAUUUACAAGUCUGUCUAAGGAGUAUUUCUCCUUGGCUAUUGUUUUAAUCAUGUCUAUUAUUUUAAGCUCUUAGAUACAAGGCAUUUUUCCUUGGUUGUACAAUAUUUUCCAAGUGUCUUUAAAUGAGUUCCAUCGAUAACUUUCUAUCCCCAGAGGUGUCGAAGAACAUAACAGUCAUAGUUAUCUUCCUUAAAACUCUUUCUAUCGUAUUUUUUCCCCCUUUUUAUAUCUUUUUCUCUUCUAGGAAAAGCAUUAAAAACACACACUACGAAUUUUCAGUAUGGCAUUGUCAAAAAAAUCCGUUUAGGGGAUGAUUACUCAUUAAAAAAUAGGAUAAAGUGCAUUUUUCUUAUUUUUUCUUGAAGAAGCUUAUCGUUGUCUAUUCUGUUUUUCUACCAUUCUUUGUUAUUUUGGUGCCUUUACAGAAAUGGUUUUAUUUCUGGAUCAGUUAUGCUAUGUGUGGUUUUCUUUUUAGCUCAACUGGAGAUUCGCUUCAUACUUCAUGAACACAAAUACGAUGUUGCUUGCAUUGUUGUUUAAUUUAUAAAUGAACUUAUGACUUCUUAAAAGAAAUUUAGUUGCCUAACUUGGUAAACAUUGCAAGUACAAGAAACUUUUGUCAAAUGCGGACUUGACAAAUAUAGGCAAAAUUUGCAGAAGACUGUAUUCCUAAUAUCUUCGAUCCUUCCUUUCAAUCAAACGAAGGAAAAAUUCUCUUUUAACUACCAUUUUCAAUUUUAUGCAAGCUGUAUUUGCAUCUCAUCCUUCUUGAAGUGUAGGGUUGAAAGCGGUUACAUAUUUUUUUGCAUUCAUUCUGAAUUUUGAUAAGUGCUUCUAUAUAUUUGGCAUAACCUAGAGGUUUCUGCAUCUAAUGUAAUGCUACCAAAGCUUCUUUCUUAAAACCUGGAUUUGAUUAUUUCUUGCUUUUUAACUCCUUUUUUUUAUCUGCACUUUUUUGUCCUCUGAUUGGUCAUAUCAUGUUUCUCUUGUUUUAAUCGUCCCUCAUGCUUCUGGUCCUUUUUUUUUCAUAGAAAAGUAUUUUGUAUUUAUUUAUUCAACCUUUUAUCCUUUUCUACUAAGAAUUCUCUCUUUCAGUUUUACUUUUAACUUUACAGCUUUACAUAUUUCUAUGUUAUACAGUAGUGAGAAAUCUUCUAAAUUUUUAUUAUUUCAAACAUAAAAUGUAAAAGCAUUCUUACAUGGAAUUGUUGCUGAGAUGGAUUUUUUAAUCUAUAAUUACUUAUUGAUCUUGUUACGAGAAAUGGUUAUAGAUCUAGAUGGAACCAUUGCUCAAUGCAAGAUUAAUUAGGGUAGGAGCUUGCUUUCAAGAGAAACUGCAGUAAAUGGAGAAUAGAAAGAACUUUCUCUCUUACACAAAUUCUGAAGAAAUCCGCCCAUGUACGUAGUGAUGUAACAAACCUGAUUCUGUUAAAUGGAAUAGAAGUACCUAUGGUUUUUUCUCAAUUUUUGAAGUCCGUUCUUUUCAAAAAGUACCGGCGCAUCUGGAACAAGAACUUAGAGGUGUAUUUGGAAGAGCAAAGCAGCACCAAAGUUAAUUUUCUUGGAGUGGACUACAUGUCAUAAUGACCUAACUCGAGCAAACCUUCCACAUGCUGGUGAAAUCAUAUGCUUAAGAUGUUAGGUGUGCUUAGAGGAAGCUGAAGUCCAUUUGUUCUUCCAUGUACCAUUGUUUCUUAGCUUUAUUGCAUGUUCUUGGAUUAUAGAACUAACAAUACUUGGAUGGGCAAGAAAGUAAAGAACAUCUCAGAAACGUAUGGAAUACAAUUUCGACCUGCAUUUUUUAUGUAGUUUUAUGUGCAAUAAAACUUUGUAUUUACCUACCAAAAGAAAAUCAUGAAACUCUUAAGAAUGUGUUGAACAAGUGAUUAUAUUUUUUCAGGGAAGUUGACCCAUCACAUA